rnacentral:rRNA from 1 species
UACAGAGGGUGCGAGCGUUGUCCGGAAUCACUGGGCGUAAAGGGCGCGUAGGUGGCCACCAUAAGGCCGCGGUGAAAGUUCGGGGCUCAACCCCGGAUCGGCCGCGGCGACUGUGGGGCUCGGGUACUGUAGAGGCAGAUGGAAUUCCGGGUGUAGCGGUGGAAUGCGUAGAGAUCCGGAAGAACACCAGUGGCGAAGGCGGUCUGCUGGGCAGUGGGAUCGAAAGGUCCCUUUAACCGACACUGAGGCGCGACAGCGUGGGGAGCAAACAGG